UACGAAGGGGCUAGCGUUGUUCGGAAUUACUGGGCGUAAAGCGCACGUAGGCGGAUAUUUAAGUCAGGGGUGAAGUCCCAGAGCUCAACUCUGGAACUGCCUUUGAUACUGGGUAUCUUGAGUAUGGAAGAGGUAAGUGGAAUUGCGAGUGUAGAGGUGAAAUUCGUAGAUAUUCGCAAGAACACCAGUGGCGAAGGCGGCUCACUGGCCCGAUACUGACGCUGAGGCACGAAAGCGUGGGGAGCAACAGG
rnacentral:rRNA from 1 species